GUGCCAGCCGCCGCGGUAAUACGUAGGGGGCGAGCGUUGUCCGGAAUUACUGGGCGUAAAGGGUGCGUAGGCGGCUUCUUAAGUCAGAUGUGAAAGACCACAGCUUAACUGUGGGGUUGCAUUUGAAACUGGGGAGCUUGAGUUUCGGAGAGGGUAGUGGAAUUCCCAGUGUAGCGGUGAAAUGCGUAGAUAUUGGGAGGAACACCAGUGGCGAAGGCGACUACCUGGACGAUAACUGACGCUGAGGCACGAAAGCUAGGGGAGCAAACAGGAUUAGAUACCCUGGUAGUCCUAGCCGUAAACGAUGGGUACUAGGUGUGGGUGGUUUCGAUACCAUCCGUGCCGCAGUUAACGCAAUAAGUAUCCCACCUGGGGAGUACGGCCGCAAGGCUGAAACUCAAAGGAAUUGGCGG
rnacentral:rRNA from 1 species